GAUGAAGAACGCAGCGAAAUGCGAUAAGUAGUGUGAAUUGCAGAAUUCAGUGAAUCAUCGAAUCUUUGAACGCACAUUGCGCCCUUUGGUAUUCCAAAGGGCAUGCCUGUUCGAGCGUCAUUUGUACCCUCAAGCUUUGCUUGGUGUUGGGCGUCAUGUCUCUAGCUUUGCUGGAGACUCGCCUUAAAGUAAUUGGCAGCCGGCCUACUGGUUUCGGAGCGCAGCACAAGUCGCACUCUCUAUCAGCAAAGGUCUAGCAUCCAUUAAGCCUUUUUUUCAACUUUUGACCUCGGAUCAGGUAGGGAUACCCGCUGAACUUAAGCAUAUCAAUAAGCGGAGGA
rnacentral:misc_RNA from 1 species